GACAUAAGGAUUACUCGGAUACUGAUAAAUCUUAUGAAUCGAUAUCUGAUGAAGAUAGCAACACAUACCCUACAUUACCACUUUCUGGCAAGAGACACGAUAAUGAUCGCUCUCCAAUGGAAAGUCAAAAUAUUACUAAUCAUAACUUCAAGCGAACUACAGAUAGCGUUCACGUAAAUGCUGAAUUUUCAGAAUUCAGAAAACAACUUCUUAAAGAAGUUCAUCUGAUUAAUCUUAAAUUAAAUGAUCUUAU